GAUGAACGCUAGCAGAACGCUUAACACAUGCAAGUCGAACGAAUAUACUGUCUUCGGAUAGUAUGUUAGUGGCAAACGGGCGAGUAACGCGUAUCUAACCUGCCCUUGUGUGAGGCACAACUAUGGAGACAUAGCUAAUUCCUCAUACGCUCUAGAGAAUGAAAAUAUCUAGAGGAAAGAUUUAUCGCACAAGGAGGGGGAUGCGUCCUAUCAGGUAGUUGGUGAGGUAACGGCUCACCAAGCCUAUGACGGGUAGCCGGUCUGAGAGGAUGUCCGGCCGCAAUGGAACUGAGAAACGGUCCAUACUCCUACGGGAGGCAGCAGUGGGGAAUAUUGGACAAUGGGCGAAAGCCUGAUCCAGCGAUUCUGCGUGAAGGAUGAAGGCCUUCGGGUUGUAAACUGCUUUUGUACGGAACGGAAAGACUCUUUCUAAUAAAGAGGGUCCAUGACGGUACCGUAAGAAUAAGCACCGGCUAACUACGUGCCAGCCGCCGUAACAC
rnacentral:rRNA from 1 species